UACGAAGGGGGCUAGCGUUGCUCGGAAUCACUGGGCGUAAAGCGCACGUAGGCGGCUUCUUAAGUCAGGGGUGAAAUCCUGGAGCUCAACUCCAGAACUGCCUUUGAUACUGGGAAUCUCGAGUCCGGGAGAGGUGAGUGGAACUGCGAGUGUAGAGGUGAAAUUCGUAGAUAUUCGCAAGAACACCAGUGGCGAAGGCGGCUCACUGGCCCGGUACUGACGCUGAGGUGCGAAAGCGUGGGGAGCAAACAGG
rnacentral:rRNA from 1 species